UAACCUGCCUGGUAGAGGGGGGUAACUAUUGGAAACGAUAGCUAAUACCGCAUAAUAGUAGAUGUUGCAUGACAUUUGCUUAAAAGGUGCAAUUGCAUCACUACCAGAUGGACCUGCGUUGUAUUAGCUAGUUGGUGAGGUAACGGCUCACCAAGGCAACGAUACAUAGCCGACCUGAGAGGGUGAUCGGCCACACUGGGACUGAGACACGGCCCAG
rnacentral:rRNA from 1 species